rnacentral:rRNA from 1 species
GCUGGUGAUCAUAGCGUGGAGGCCACACCCGUUCCCAUCCCGAACACGGUCGUUAAGCUCCACAGCGGCGAUGGUACUAUGACGCAAUGUCAUGGGAGAGUAGCACGUCGCCAGCC